rnacentral:lncRNA from 1 species
UAUAUUAGAAAUGCAGUAGAUAAUGAGCAUGAUUAAUUAGUUACAUGGCACUCUGUAUUCACAAGCGAAUAGAGAAAGGAACACCAGAACUUAUAGAACAAACACAACCUUUUACUUAGCACAACAACACCUAUAAUUCGUAGAAUAAGAGGAGAACGAAACUUGAAAAACUUAGCUUUUAUACAACGAGGGACGCGGCCCUAUUCAGUCGGGCCGAGAGAUGACUAGAAAUGGAGGAGAACGAACGAGGCGGCGCCAACGUGUGCUGCCGUCUCUCGCCAUUAACCGAACAGCAACAAUAGAGCCGAGAGAUCAUGGCUCGACCCUUGCCUCCGUCAUGUCGGCACAAACGUGUGCGUGAGAGCAGUGAGCGGCGACGGCCUCCCUACAGCAGCGGCGUUCGGUGCUUGGCAGCAGAAGUCGGCCUUGGGCGAGGCAGCGGCAGCCGACGACGGUGGUGGCUGUGGGAACUCGGCAACAGCAGCCGCAACUUCAGAACAGCAGCAGUCGGCGGCCAACUCGACGAACAGCAACAGUCGGCGGAUCCUCGGUGAACAGCAACAACAGCCGCGACUCCGGGCGAGCAGCAGCAGUUCCAGGCGGCUGAGCGGGGCGGCGCGGCCGAAGGCCAAGCGCCGCUGGUCGCGGCCCAGAGCUGAACAGCAGUAGUCAGCGGCAGCAGCUCCACGCGGCGACCUCGCUGUGAGUCGCCGGAGCAACAGAAAGCGACGCUCCUCGCCGUUGAAGAGAAGAGCCGCGGCGGCGGAAGUUCGAGGGAGGAGAUGGCUGGAUUGAGCGAGAAAGAGAGAUGGUUUCCAGCGAUGACUCGCCGGGAAGAAAGGACGCCGGAAUCGAGCGAGAAAAAGAGAGAUGUGAGCAGCGUGAUUUUGAGAGAGAGAGUUGAGCAGCGUUUUUAAUUGUGAGAAUGAGAGAGAUGGUGGGUUCUGCUUUUAAAAAAAAAGAAGAGAGUCUCGAUAAUUAUAUUGAGAGAAUGAAUGUUGGCUUUAAUAAAGAGAGAGAGAGAGAUAUUAAAAAUGUGUGUGCAGCGUGUGUUUUGUUAAUAAAGAGGAGAAAUUUUACUUUAAGAUAAGGAGAGAGAUGAUGUUGAGUGGUGUGAUUUGUGUUAUAAAAAAAGAGAGAAGAACCGAUAAUGUGAGGAUUAAGAGAAAAAGUGUGUUUUGCUUUAUAUAAAAAACAAAAAAGAGGGGGACCGAUGAUAGUGAAUUGUGAGAGAAAGAGGAAAAUAUUGGUAGAGAAAGAGAGCGAAAGAGGCGUGAGAGUGAUAGUCGAAAAGAAAGGGGAAAAAGGAAGUUUGGAGUUUGGGCCGGGUUUGGGCCGACAAAUUGGGCCUGGUUCAGUUUAUUUGUUGGGCCGGAUAUUAAUUCAUUUGGGCUUUGCUUAUUUUAUUUCCAUUGGGCUAAUAUAUAUAUUGUUUGGACUCUAUUAUUUAUAUAAAUGGGCUCCUAUUAUUUAUUUUAAUUGGGCUCCUACAAUUUAUUUAGUUAAGCCCAAUGAGACUUAUUAAUUUAAGCCCCAUUAUUAAUCCUAAUUAUAUUUAAUUAGUGAUUAUUUUUUUUUAAGUAAAUUAGAUUAUUUUAAGAUGAGUAGAUUAUUAAAGAUUAAUAAUCCGACCUCAUAAGACGAGCUUUAAUUCCUUAAAUAGGAUUAGCAUCUCAUAAUUUAAUUAAAGGAAUAUGAGUCAUGCAUAAUCAUUUCACGCAUCCUCAUUUAUUGAGAUUUUUCGAGAAUUAGAAUCUUAUUUUAUUUUCUCGGAUUAAAGGUCAAGCACCAGAGUUAGAGCUAAACCGUGAGUCUGCUAUUCAGGUGGGCUUUCUAUGUAUAAACUAAAAUUAUAUAUUAGAAUUGUUAAGACUUUAUGCUUAUGAAUUUAAAUGAUAUUGUCAAUGCCUAAAUGCUUUAUGUUUUAUUAUUAAUUGCCUAUCUGAUGAUAAUCGAAUUCGGAUUCUGGAUGGGACUGCAAAUCCCUUCGGAAUUAGUGUACACCUUGUGAUCGUGAGUCAUCUAGCGGGUUGGCCGAUCAUAGUGUCCGUAGAGGGAGGCCUCCCUCUCGGCACGAGUUACUGAUAUGGUGAUUAAUGAUAUAAAAUACCUGUACAGGUUAUUGAUGAAAGAAAUGAUAAUAUUUUGGUAAAUACGAGUCUUUAAAGGAAAACCCUCGUAUCUUACUACUGUUGAAAGGCUUGACAAUAAAAUAUUAUGCAUGUAUGUAAAUUUCGGCAAGUGUCCACUAAGUACUCCCGUACUUAGCCCUGCAUGUAUUUUUAAAUGUGCAGGUUGAGCUGUGAUCGAGGAUGUAGUGUGCAAGCGGAGCUUCUGUCAAUCUAGGAUGAGUACCUCAGAGUAGAGUAUAUGUCUUCAUACAUAUACUCAAAAUGUUAUUCCGCUGCGAACACUGAUUUUGCUAAAGACAUUAUGUUAUCUUGUCAAAUAAUAUGUAUUAUUUAAUAAUGUACUCAAACUCGUUGAGUACCUCUUUUGGAUAAUAUUAUGUACGGUUCCUUUUGACCUUCGUUAAAUUCUAGUUAAUUUCAAUCGUUUUCAUUAUACAAGUCGAGUCAUCAAGAAGCUAAACAUGCCCCUUUUCUAAUCCCGCUCCUAAUUUCCCUCCCUUAGUCGCGGUUUUCCCGAAUUUGCUAUCCUUAGCAAGUGCGGUCGUGACAGAAUGGUAUCAUUGCUUUGUAUUCGUUGGGUGAAAGAAAAAGAAAAAUACAAAUUAUGUUGCUUGGAAAUAAAUUACAAUAAAAUAUUUCAUAAAUAAAAUAAUAAGAAAAUAACUUAAUUAUAGAAAUUUUUUAUUAGGAUAAAAAGAAAAUCACCAUCAUAACCUUAUUAUAAAAAAAUAGCAACAAUACAAUAUGAUAAAUAUCAAUCGUCAUAUUUAUCUAUUCAACGUUCAAAUUUUAUUUCUAAUUCUUACAUACUUACCCAGUUUUAUUUGAUCCUUCGUAUAUAUUUGUGAGUGCUCUUCCUUUAUGUAGUAUACAUAUACAUAUAUAUAUAUAUAUAUAUUAUAAUUUUAUUAUACAUUUAAAAAAAUUAAUUGCUGAGAAUUUUAUUGCAUAUUUUUAAAUUUUUAACGCGUUUUUAGUGUAAAAAGGUAUAAUCCUCCCUUAAAUAUCUAGAUAUUUAAGAACCUUUUUUCCCCGCCUUUUUAUGUUUUAACAUGUUUUUAAGAUGUAUAAUGUUGAACAUAAAUAUGCAAUAAAAAAACAGCUUAAUAUUACACACAAAAAUGAAUGGAUAAUUAAAAAAAUUAUAACUAAUUUGGAUAAAUUAAUUAAUAUCAAAUAAGAAAUUCUAUUAUUUAGAUAUAUAAUAUACUCCAUAUAUUAAAACUUAAAUCCCAAACCUAGCUUGUAUAUUAAAGAUCAUACAUAAUACAAACUUUUCAAAUUUUAGUGAACUUUUUUAAUUUUAAAAUUUAUAUAGUACAAAUAUUUAACAGAUAUUUUUAACAAUUUGUUGAUAAUAAUGCACCAUAUUUUUAACAAAUAUUUUAAAAUUUCUAUACUCCAUUUUCUAUAAAAAUAUUUAACAAAUAUUUUUAUAAUACUGUCAACACAUUUGUUGAUAAUAAUGCACCAUAUUUUUAAUUAAAUUUUUUAAUUUAGAUGUUUUUAUGUUAUGCUUGAUAUAAUAACCCAACACACAAAUAUGAUGUUUUAUUGUUAUUUAUCUUUUUUUAUACAAAAAAAAAAAAGAAAGAAGAGAUGAGAGAUAAAUUUUGUAGUAUAGAGAGAAAAAGAAAUAUAAUAACAACAAUAAUAAUCGUAAAAAUAAGAAAGAGGGAAAAUAUAAAAGAAUAGAAAAAAAGAGGAGAGAGAAAAAUAAUUACCAUAAAAAUUUAAAUUACAAUAAUUUAUUUAUUUCAAAUUCAUAUUUGAUUAUUUUUAUAUCAAAUUAAAAGAUCUUAUCAUUAUCUUUAAUUUUAGAUGCAUAUAAUUUUUUUUUAUAAAAUCACUAAAAUAUAAAACAGAGAGUAUAAGAGAGAGAAAUUGUAUAUAUAAAAAAAGAGUCAAGAAACUCGUUGAGUACCUCUUUUUUAAAUUUAGCACGCCAUGCUCCCUCAGCCACUCUAUUCUCACCCGUGCUUAGCUUUUCUUUUCCACUCCUACAUAGUCAAAAAAAGAAUUCAGCAAAUCUCCUAGGAUUGUUGAGCGUACUAUUCAUCAACCACGCUCAUUAAUCUCAAGAAUAUUCAACAUACAAAUCUCAAUUGUCAGCAGAAAAUCUCAUCAAUUAAAUUCUUCAACCACGCCUCAAUUUAGCCGUACUAUUCAUCAUCUUUUCACACUAAUCAGCUCUCCUUAAGUUCAGUAUAAAGCCAUCCUUAUUCACCCUCUUCAUCACAGCAACAAAUCUACUCCUUCCAUCGAGAAAUCACCAAGCAUAAUCUCCUCAUUCCCAUUCCACAAACGUUCCUAGCAAAAAGAGGAAAGACUGCACUGCUCUUCAUCAUUCUCUGCCAAAGCAUUUUCAAGUAUCAGUUCAUUCAAACAAUAACCAACCAACAAAACCAUUCAAGGUAUUUCAUGCUAUCUUAGUUCACUCUCUUCAUAUACAUAUAUCAUAUCUCAGUAGAGCAUGCUUUAUAUAUUAGAAAUGCAGUAGAUAAUGAGCAUGAUUAAUUAGUUACAUGGCACUCUGUAUUCACAAGCGAAUAGAGAAAGGAACACCAGAACUUAUAGAACAAACACAGCCUUUUACUUAGCACAACAACACCUAUAAUUCGUAGAAUAAGAGGAGAACGAAACUUGAAAAACUUAGCUUUUAUACAACGAGGGACGCGGCCUAUUCAGUCGGGCCGAGAGAUGACUAGAAAUGGAGGAGAACGAACGAGGCGGCGCCAACGUGUGCUGCCGUCUCUCGCCAUUAACCGAACAGCAACAAUAGAGCCGAGAGAUCAUGGCUCGACCCUUGCCUCCGUCAUGUCGGCACAAACGUGUGCGUGAGAGCAGUGAGCGGCGACGGCCUCCCUACAGCAGCGGCGUUCGGUGCUUGGCAGCAGAAGUCGGCCUUGGGCGAGGCAGCGGCAGCCGACGACGGUGGUGGCUGUGGGAACUCGGCAACAGCAGCCGCAACUUCAGAACAGCAGCAGUCGGCGGCCAACUCGACGAACAGCAACAGUCGGCGGAUCCUCGGUGAACAGCAACAACAGCCGCGACUCCGGGCGAGCAGCAGCAGUUCCAGGCGGCUGAGCGGGGCGGCGCGGCCGAAGGCCAAGCGCCGCUGGUCGCGGCCCAGAGCUGAACAGCAGUAGUCAGCGGCAGCAGCUCCACGCGGCGACCUCGCUGUGAGUCGCCGGAGCAACAGAAAGCGAUGCUCCUCGCCGUUGAAGAGAAGAGCCGCGGCGGCGGAAGUUCGAGGGAGGAGAUGGCUGGAUUGAGCGAGAAAGAGAGAUGGUUUCCAGCGAUGACUCGCCGGGAAGAAGGACGCCGGAAUCGAGCGAGAAAAAGAGAGAUGUGAGCAGCGUGAUUUUGAGAGAGAGAGUUGAGCAGCGUUUUUAAUUGUGAGAAUGAGAGAGAUGGUGGGUUCUGCUUUUAAAAAAAAAGAGAGAGUCUCGAUAAUUAUAUUGAGAGAAUGAAUGUUGGCUUUAAUAAAGAGAGAGAGAGAGAUAUUAAAAAUGUGUGUGCAGCGUGUGUUUUGUUAAUAAAGAGGAGAAAUUUUACUUUAAGAUAAGGAGAGAGAUGAUGUUGAGUGGUGUGAUUUGUGUUAUAAAAAAAGAGAGAAGAACCGAUAAUGUGAGGAUUAAGAGAAAAAGUGUGUUUUGCUUUAUAUAAAAAACAAAAAAGAGGGGGACCGAUGAUAGUGAAUUGUGAGAGAAAGAGGAAAAUAUUGGUAGAGAAAAAGAGAGAGAGAGGCGUGAGAGAUAAUAGUGGAAGAGAGGAGUGGGCCUUCCUCAAUUGGGCCGGGUUUGGGCCGAUUCUUUUGGGCUUGUUUUUAUUUUCCUUGGGCCUGGUUCAGUUUAUUUGUUGGGCCGGAUAUUAAUUCAUUUGGGCUUUGCUUAUUUUAAUUCAUUUGGGCUUGUUUUUAUUUCUCAAUUGGGCCUAGUUCAUUUAAUCUGUUGGGCUUUAGAAUUUAAUUGAUGUUGGGCUUAAUGUUAUUUAUGCA